rnacentral:rRNA from 1 species
CCAGACUCCUACGGGAGGCAGCAGUGGGGAAUAUUGCACAAUGGGGGAAACCCUGAUGCAGCGACGCCGCGUGAGCGAUGAAGUAUUUCGGUAUGUAAAGCUCUAUCAGCAGGGAAGAAAAUGACGGUACCUGACUAAGAAGCCCCGGCUAACUACGUGCCAGCAGCCGCGGUAAUACGUAGGGGGCAAGCGUUAUCCGGAUUUACUGGGUGUAAAGGGAGCGUAGACGGCGAUGCAAGCCAGAUGUGAAAGCCCGGGGCUCAACCCCGGGACUGCAUUUGGAACUGUAUAGCUAGAGUGUCGGAGAGGCAGGCGGAAUUCCUAGUGUAGCGGUGAAAUGCGUAGAUAUUAGGAGGAACACCGGUGGCGAAGGCGGCCUGUUGGACGAUGACUGACGUUGAGGCUCGAAAGCGUGGGGAGCAAACAGGAUUAGAUACCCUUGUAC